UACGUAGGGCGCAAGCGUUGUCCGGAAUUAUUGGGCGUAAAGAGCUCGUAGGCGGCUUGUCACGUCGGGUGUGAAAGCCCGGGGCUUAACCCCGGGUCUGCAUUCGAUACGGGCUAGCUAGAGUGUGGUAGGGGAGAUCGGAAUUCCUGGUGUAGCGGUGAAAUGCGCAGAUAUCAGGAGGAACUCCGGUGGCGAAGGCGGAUCUCUGGGCCAUUACUGACGCUGAGGAGCGAAAGCGUGGGGAGCGAACAGG
rnacentral:rRNA from 1 species